rnacentral:rRNA from 1 species
GAUGAACGCUGGCGGCGUGCUUAACACAUGCAAGUCGAACGAUUAAAGCCCCUUCGGGGGUGUAUAGAGUGGCGAACGGGUGAGUAACACGUGGGCAACCUGCCCCUCACUUCGGGAUAACUCAGGGAAACCUGAGCUAAUACCGGAUACUCCGGGAUGGUCGCAUGGCCGACUCGGGAAAGCUCCGACGGUGAGGGAUGGGCCCGCGCCCCAUUAGCUUGUUGGUGAGGUAACGGCUCACCAAGGCAACGAUGGGUAGCCGAGCUGAGAGGCUGAUCGGCCACACUGGGACUGAGACACGGCCCAGACUCCUACGGGAGGCAGCAGUGGGGAAUCUUGCGCAAUGGGCGAAAGCCUGACGCAGCAACGCCGCGUGCGGGAUGAAGGCCUUCGGGUCGUAAACCGCUUUCAGCAGGGACGAAUCUGACUGUACCUGCAGAAGAAGCCCCGGCUAACUACGUGCCAGCAGCCGCGGUAAAAC